rnacentral:rRNA from 1 species
GACGAACCGUACGAACGUUAUUCGGAAUCACUGAGCUUAAAGGGUGCGUAGGCGGCGCGACAAGUUGGGUGUGAAAUCCCUCGGCUCAACCGAGGAACUGCGCCCAAAACUGUCGUGCUCGAGGGAGACAGAGGUGAGCGGAACUUAGGGUGGAGCGGUGAAAUGCGUUGAUAUCCUAAGGAACACCGGUGGCGAAAGCGGCUCACUGGGUCUCUUCUGACGCUGAGGCACGAAAGCUAGGGUAGCGAACGGG